CGUAGAGUUACCGACUUGUUAACUACCUAGUACCUACCCAAUUGAAUUCCAAGGAAAGUAAUUGUCUCUAGCAGUCUGUUUUACAGUUCAGAUGGCCGACGCAGUGUUUGUAGGCCCCCCACAAGAUGGACCGACGAUCUGGUCAAGAUCGCUGGAAUACGUUGGAUGAGGGCAGCGCAGGACCGAUCGUCGUGGAUAUCUUCGGGGAGGCCUUUAUCCAGCAUUGGACCUCUUCCGGCUGAUGAACAAACGUUACGCUUCUUAAAAAUAAAUUGAUAUGUGUUCCAUUUUAGA